rnacentral:rRNA from 1 species
GACGAACGCUGGCGGCGUGCUUAACACAUGCAAGUCGAACGGAAAGGCCCUGCUUUUGUGGGGUGCUCGAGUGGCGAACGGGUGAGUAACACGUGAGUAACCUGCCCUCGACUGUGGGAUAACUCUAGUAAACUGGGGCUAAUACCGGAUAGGAGCUCCUGCUGCAGGGGGGGGGUUGGAAAGUUUCGGCGGUUGGGGAUGGACUCGCGGCGUAUCAGCCGGUUGGUGGGGUCGUGGCUUACCAAGGCUUUGACGGGUAGCCGGCCUGAGAGGGUGACCGGCCACAUUGGGACUGAGAUACGGCCCAGACUCCUACGGGAGGCAGCAGUGGGGAAUAUUGCACAAUGGGCGGAAGCCUGAUGCAGCAACGCCGCGUGCGGGAUGACGGCCUUCGGGUUGUAAACCGCUUUCGCCUGUGACGAAGCGUGAGUGACGGUAAUGGGUAAAGAAGCACCGGCUAACUACGUG